AUGUCUUGUUUUUCAGGUAAGGGACAGAGGCUUACGUUGAGAAAGGGUUGCCCAUCACUUAAAAUGGGCUCCUGGUCCCUUGGGCAUUGGCCAGGGACCUGCGUAAGAAGCAGAGGAACCAAGUCUUCCAUCUCUACACCACUGCAGUCCACACUGCAGUCUGACUCCUUCUCUAGACAUAGCAGAGCUCUGGGUAAACCAGGACUUACCAGUGUUAGAAAGACUGCCCGGUCAUCAGUCUUCUGCACUGUGUGCUUCAUUGUACUGCAUGCUGAGGAAUAUUUCCCCCAGGAGGCUCGUGAGGGGCAUCUCCAGCCAGAGGAGGAUGUCCUGGAUGAAGACGCUCAUUUUACAUGUAAGAAGAAUCAGGGAUAUCAAGUCUGGAGACGGAAAGAGGAUGCUGAGCCCACAAUUGCUAGCCCAACCUAG
rnacentral:lncRNA from 1 species